GAAAAAAAAAAAAAUCCUCUAUUAGUCUGAUGGAAGAUAUAAUAUUGUUUUUUAAUGUCAUUGGUAAACUGAACCACACAAUAUCAGUAUGAUAUUAUAACCAAAAAAAGGUCAUCUUAUAAUAUACAAAUAAUGAGCCAGAUAAUAACAUGACAUCAGUACUAUGACCUCAACCCUUAAAUUUGGUCUUAACCUUCUCGCUUACACAUAAGAAUGGUUUAACUGUAGUAGAUUUUUUUGUCAGUACAACUAUGAUCAAUAAACAACAUCAAUCUUAUAUAAGGCAUUCAUAUAAAGCAAAAUUCAAGAAAAUAAAGCAAAGAAGAAUAUUUGGAAAAUUUUAAUGAGAUUGAUUAAUGUACAUGCAUGCCAUCAUGUUUCCCCAAUGGUUCAUCAUAUUGAACUCCAACCCAAAAACCUGAUGCAAGAGAUUCUGCUCUGCCAACAAAUUUGAGAAGCCCUCUUUUCUCUUCUGGUUCAACCUCACAUCUGUCUCCCACCUUCAUAUUUGCACACAAGUCUUCCAUGUGGUUGUCAGUCAUCUUAGCCUCAAAGGCAGAUGGAUUUUUGAGAGACCAAUUUCUCUUUAAAUUUUCUGAAAGUGCCUGAAAACACAAACACUGCGUUUAUCAUAGGCCUGUUCUGAAAUUGUAUAUUUCUCCACCAAUGAAGUGUCUUCAAGCCACCCACCCGAGGUUACUGAUGAAGGGUCAAGAUCUGAAGGGAGAAGCGAAAACUGGGGAAGAAAGUCUUCAUGUUGGAGUGAGUGACACGCAAGAGGACUGAGUCAUCCCCCUCUAUCUGAAGCCGAGUUGCCUUCUUUCCUUAGAGCUGUCGCCGCCGUCGGAGCUUCAAUUAGCAGGCUGGCCUCCAGAGCUUCAGCAUCAGUGAGACGCGCUAUUAGCACAAGAUAAAGGGUAUGUGAGUGAGCAGACAAAGGAAUUUGAAUUUGAG
rnacentral:misc_RNA from 1 species